UCAUGAAGGGGACCCCCAAUACCCUGUCCAGCCCCUCUCACUCUCACUUUGUCUCUUUUUCCAGAAACCAUUCUCUCUUCCCUCUCUCUACUGAAGUAGGAGCUUUGCUAGGGCACAGGAAACCUUCCUUUUUCGAGCUAGUUAAAAUUCAUUUUACCUCCAACUCACUGCUCUAGCUCUUGGAGUUGUGGUGCUCUUUAGUUGCGGACUUGUUGUGUUUGCUAGCGUCUAAAAAGAUGGAAAAAACGUUGAAGGUGGACCUGAUGGUAAUAGUGGUGCGGUGUAGUGGGCCCUGUUACCUUUGGCUCUUGGGAGCAGUUUUAUGGCCUUAGUGCCUUUUGUUAUUCCUUGCUCUAUAAGUUUUGAUUUUUGUAUAACUGUUGAACCCCGGCGGAUUAUGUUUUGUUAGAGGCAUGUAUGAUAGAUAUGCCUCAAUUUCUUUUAAGUACU